AUUCUACUGUUUAUUACACAUAUUACAUUCUUAAAUAAAAAUGCGUCACAUAACAUUUUUUGCAUAGAUAUCUUACAAUAUACCAAUUUAAAAAAGAAUUAUGAAACAGACCAGUAACAAAAAUAAAUUUUUUCUUCAUUAAUAAUUUUGUAACAUUAACAUACCACCAUCAUAUAAUACAAAUAAUAGUUUUAAAUCUUAAGACUUUUGUACAGGCAUAACCGAGGGCUAUAAGACUGGGUACUUCUGUGAUAUAUUAUAAAUACCAGAGAAGGCCUGAGAGAAUGUGACGGGGAGGCUUCAAAAACAUUAGACAUUUAUUUUUGCCUCUGUGUUAGCAAGGAGAUCUUGGCCAUUAACAGAUGUAUUUUUCCUCCCUGGAAUGAAGCAGAAGUGAGGACCUAGGUUUGCAGAAAUCGUUCUGCCUCCAGUCCAAAGGCCUAGGUUUAAAAUGUCCCUUCUGCCCACCCCCAACCCCUCCCCGCUAUGUGGAACUCCCAGUGUGGUUUCGAUAUACUGGCAAUUAUAAGCAUCCAUCCCCCCCAAAAGAUAUUAGGCACUGGUGGCUACUCCUCCGAAACGUCAGUAGCCUGUUUUCCUUCCGUGAAGGUACCCACCCUCAUUAUGCUGACGUGGGGUCCAUCUUAUGGCAGUAGACAGAAGCUGGACUCACAGCAAGUUACGAUUCCAAAGCUCACAGUUGAAAAAAAAUUGUAUAAACAGUCCCCAACAAAGAACAUUAUCAACCUUCCCUCAUGACCACUGAGAGGGAGCCCUGUUUGAAAAGAAUAUCUUGUUUGGGAUAUUUGCCUGUUUCCCGAGGACUUUUAUGUUAAAUGCAAAACACCUGAAAAAUACAGUACUAUAUUGGAAGGAUGCACAUAAGAAAGUUAACUGCAGCUUUAUUUUUCCCUUUUCUGGGAUCUAUUAGGAACCAACAGAGGAGAUUUAAGAGUGUUAAAAGCAAGAAAGCUUCCUUUCACACAUUUCUGUUGUUCCAUCUCAAGUAUUCCCAAAGAUCCUCAUGCUAAUCAGGCAUGAGGUUGGCUGUCCUUUUACCCUGUUAUCAUCAGGCAAUCAAAGAUGCUCCAAUAUUUUUACAAAAAUGCAGCUUUGUCAUGGAAUCUGAACAUCUCUUUUUCUGGACAUAAUACUCAUGAAGAACAGUUUCAAAGCCAUCCACUUAGCACCCACCAAAUUCUUAGGCCAAUUCUCACAGUCAACAAAUGACUCUGAAGCAAGCAAGCACCACCAUUGAGUUUCAAUGCACCCUGCUCCAAGAAAGGUCAGGAGCAGAUUACAAAGGACCUCACUGAUACAAAAGAGAGAGAAAUUACUGAACAUUUCAGACACUGAUGAGGACCAAAGGGCCUUUGUUCUGCCACAUUCAAAUGAGACCACAGAUGACAAUAGGGAGCAAACAAGCAAUGAUUACUCUUUUGCA
rnacentral:lncRNA from 1 species